GAUGAACGCUGGCGGCGUGCCUAAUACAUGCGAGUCGAGCGAACGGACGAGAAGCUUGCUUCUCUGAUGUUAGCGGCGGACGGGUGAGUAACACGUGGAUAACCUACCUAUAAGACUGGGAUAACUUCGGGAAACCGGAGCUAAUACCGGAUAAUAUUUUGAACCGCAUGGUUCAAAAGUGAAAGACGGUCUUGCUGUCACUUAUAGAUGGAUCCGCGCUGCAUUAGCUAGUUGGUAAGGCAACGGCUUACCAAGGCAACGAUGCAUAGCCGACCUGAGAGGGUGAUCGGCCACACUGGAACUGAGACACGGUCCAGACUCCUACGGGAGGCAGCAGUAGGGAAUCUUCCGCAAUGGGCGAAAGCCUGACGGAGCAACGCCGCGUGAGUGAUGAAGGUCUUCGGAUCGUAAAACUCUGUUAUUAGGGAAGAACAUAUGUGUAAGUAACUGUGCACAUCUUGACGGUACCUAAUCAGAAAGCCACGGCUAACUACGUG
rnacentral:rRNA from 1 species